rnacentral:rRNA from 1 species
AUUGAACGCUGGCGGCAGGCCUAACACAUGCAAGUCGAGCGGAGCGGCGGACGGGUGAGUAAUGCCUAGGAAUCUGCCUGGUAGUGGGGAUAACGUCCGGAAACGGGCGGUAAAAACCGAUACUAACAGAUGAGACUAGGUCGGAUUAGCUAGUUGGGGGGGUAAAGGCCUACCAAGGCGGCGAUCCGUAACUGGUCUGAGAGGAUGAUCAGUCACACUGGAACUGAGACACGGUCCAGACUCCUACGGGAGUCAGCAGUGGGGAAUAUUGGACAAUGGGCGAAAGCCUGAUCCAGCCAUGCCGCGUGUGUGAAGAAGGUCUUCGGAUUGUAAAGCACUUUAAGUUGGGAGGCGUUACCAACAGAAUAAGCACCGGCUAACUUCGUGCCAGCAGCCGCGGUAAUAC